rnacentral:rRNA from 1 species
GACGAACGCUGGCGGCGUGCUUAACACAUGCAAGUCGAACGGCAAGGCCCUGCUUUUGUGGGGUGCUCGAGUGGCGAACGGGUGAGUAACACGUGAGUAACCUGCCCUUGAUUUUGGGAUAACUUCAGGAAACUGGGGUUAAUACCGGAUAGGAGCUCCUGUUGCAUGGUGGGGGUUGGAAAUUUUCGGCGGUUGGGGAUGGACUCGCGGCUUAUCAGCUUGUUGGUGGGGUAGUGGCUUACCAAGGCUUUGACGGGUAGCCGGCCUGAGAGGGUGACCGGCCACAUUGGGACUGAGAUACGGCCCAGACUCCUACGGGAGGCAGCAGUGGGGAAUAUUGCACAAUGGGCGGAAGCCUGAUGCAGCAACGCCGCGUGCGGGAUGACGGCCUUCGGGUUGUAAACCGCUUUCGCCUGUGACGAAGCGUGAGUGACGGUAAUGGGUAAAGAAGCACCGGCUAACUACGUG